GCAUUAAUGGGGUAGUGGUAACCUGGGUCGUUGCCACAAGAAGAUUGCUCGACCCGCCGGGGGUUCGAUUCCCUCUUAAUGCA